rnacentral:rRNA from 1 species
UAGGGAAUCUUCGGCAAUGGGGGGAACCCUGACCGAGCAACGCCGCGUGAGUGAAGAAGGUUUUCGGAUCGUAAAGCUCUGUUGUUAAGGAAGAACGAGUGUGAGAAUGGAAAGUUCAUACUGUGACGGUACUUAACCAGAAAGGGACGGCUAACUACGUGCCAGCAGCCGCGGUAAUACGUAGGUCCCGAGCGUUGUCCGGAUUUAUUGGGUGUAAAGCGAGCGCAGGCGGUUAGAUAAGUCUGAAGUUAAAGGCAGUGGCUCAACCAUUGUAGGCUUUGGAAACUGUUUAACUUGAGUGCAGAAGGGGAGAGUGGAAUUCCAUGUGUAGCGGUGAAAUGCGUAGAUAUAUGGAGGAACACCGGUGGCGAAAGCGGCUCUCUGGUCUGUAACUGACGCUGAGGCUCGAAAGCGUGGGGAGCGAACAGG